rnacentral:misc_RNA from 1 species
UCAACUUGGAAAUUUGAUUUCUGAAGAUGCCGGCUGCAAGGCCCAAUACAUUGGACAGAGAUGGUGAACUAUUUGUUGAAGUUGACCCUACUGGACGGUUUGGGCGAUAUGAUGAUCUGCUUGGUGCUGGUGCUGUUAAGAAGGUUUAUCGGGCAUUUGAUCAAGAGGAAGGUACAGAGGUGGCAUGGAAUCGAGUGCGGUUGAGGAAUUUUAUUGAAGAUCCAGUUCUCAUUAAUAGGCG